CUUGGAUAGUGAAUGCUGCAGGAACUGCCAGGCUGUCCCAGAAAAUGCAGAACUACCUAUGCUUCCAACCAUGAUAGGAUAGGACUAUGAGAACUUGAAAGGACCAAGGCACGUCAGUACCAUCACUAGGAUCUCACAUUCUCCCAUGUUUCCCAAGGUUGGCACUGCCCAAGAUAGAAAUCCUGAGUGCCAUCCAGGACACUUCCCUUGAUCUCUCUUCCCCAGCAUCCAGCAGUCCUGGGGCACCACCAACACUUAAUUAAGCCUCCAUCUUCAGGCAAGAAAGUCUGUGAUGUGAAUGAAGGGAUGAGAAAACCAAGGCUCAGAUGAGUGCAGUGAUUUCCCAUGCCUGGUAAGUGGCAGAGCUUGGAUUGGCCUUCCCGUCUGUUGGAUUCCAAAGCAGAGGGACCUGGGUUCUGUUUUCCCAGCUGCAAUGUCCCCAGCUGCAGGAUGAAGGCUGAGGAAACGGGGACAUAAAAAGGAAACCUCUUUCUCUGAUGUGUUUUCUCUCCUCCCCCCUUUUUUUCAUCCCAACCACAUUAGUUAGCACUUACUACAUCUACUGUAUGUAUGUGAUUCAGGGACAAGUAGGUUUAUUAGCAACAACAUGGGAGUCUUAGGAGGGGGAUACCUGGGCUCUUGAGUGACCUUGGGCAAGUUUCUGCACUUUUCUGGGCCUCAGUUUCUUGACCUAUUACAUGGCAAUAAUAAUCCCUUUCCUGCCUUCUUCACCAGGAAACCAUGAGGACGGGGUGUAAAGCAACUGUGUAAAAUGUGAAAUGUAGUGAACACAAAAAGGUUUGUUUGGACUAAGGAGCACCCCGACCUAGGGCUCAGACCUGUUCAGCCACCUCUGUACAGAGGUGAGGGCUCCCUCUCCUCUCUCACCUGGGGCUAGGUUCGGGAGGUGGACAACACUGAGUGGCAUUGAGAGCGUCAACCCACAUCUUCAGCCUCACGCUCCCCACACCUUCUCUCUUAGGCCAUGCUGCAGCCCUGCUAAACUAGUGGAAAUACUCCAAGCCUGCCAGGAGGUUUCUGUCUACUUUGUCUGUGCAGUUUCUUCUGCCUUGACACCCUUCCCAACUUCUCCUCCUGGUGCAUUCCCACUCGUCUUUCAAGACUGACCUUAGAUGUCCCACUUCUAGGAUGCCUCUCCUGACCCGGCUCUAGUCUUCCUACUUCUCUUGAUUGUUGCACCUGCCCCGUGCCUGAGCUCUUGGCCUUCAGCUUCUCUUUUCCACUCAAAGCCCCCAUGGUGCAACCAGCGGCCUUUCCAAAAUACAAAUCUUGUCAUGUUACUCCCUGCUUAAAAUAACUGGCCAAUGGAAUAAUCCAUCAAUCAAUGCUUCAGGGGUUCCUCCUUGCCCUCAGGAAAGCAUCCACACCUUCAGCUGGGUCUCCAUGCUUGGUCCCUGCUUGUCUUUCCAGCCUCUGCUCUCUUCCCUCUCCUGAUUGCCCUGCACAUGCAAUGCCCUCCAGCCACAUUGUUCUUGCCACUGUAUCUCAGACACACCUCUCUCUAUCUUUGCUUGUCCUGUUGUUUUUCCUGCCCAUUUCCACCUUGCCCACUUGAGGAAGUCCUGCCUAAUCCUUAACACCAGGUCUGAUAUAACCUCUUGGAAGCCUUCCCUAUUGGCCCCAGGAAGAGUCCUUGGCUUCCUCUUCUUCCCUCUCCUGUAUGACUACUCAUGCUUUUGUUACUGUUUGUCAGCUUGUCUGUUUACACUGAGAGUUUCCUGAGUAGAGACUGUAUCUGACACAUGGUUGUGUCCCCAGCAGUGCCAGGAGAAAGGCACAGAGCAGACAUGUAGGAUAUGUUGCUCAUGUGAGUGGUUGAAUGAAUGAAGGAAGGAAGGGUGAAUGAAUCCAACCUUGAACCAUCACUUCUUGGCCAGCCCCAGAACUGCUGUUUCCCAGGGUAAGCCCAUUUGAUAGCCAAAGGGGAAGUAGAAGGGAGGGACUGCUCUAGGAGGGAGAAAGGAAAUCAAUAAAAAUGUAAAUCUGGUUGAGAAAAGCUGUCCCAAGCUGGCUGUGGGGAGAGAUAAGACUGGGCUGGCUGAGCCCUGGCUGACAGUGGAGGAGAGAUUGGGGACAACGGAGCUGUGGCCAGGGUAAGGCAAAGGAGGUGUGUUCCUCCCUCUGUUGUCACUUCCCCCUCCCACCCUGAUGCUUUGUGUGUUUAUGAAAUUUUUUCCGGGACAGAAGGGGAAGGGAGCUUACAAAUCCUGAUCAUCAGGUGUGGUGCCUGUGAGCAGGUACAUGAUCUUACCCAGUCCUCACAGCUUCUGGGAGAUAGGAGCUAGGCAUGCUCAACCUCACUUGCAGGUGAGCAAACUGAGGUGCAGAGAGGUUAAAUCAUUUGUUCAUCGUCACACUGUAAUAAGUGGCAGAGUCAAGAUCUGAUCCCAAGCCUGACUCUCUCCACAGCUCUAUAAUCUUUUCACUCCAUUAAGGGCUUUUGACUGGGGACCUGGGAUUCUUAGGAGGUCUACACCCAGGCAUCAUAUGGUCUUCAACCUCUGAAAUCAUAUGCACAAUUGUGUAUAUGUCUGUGUGUGUGUUUUGUUUUAUGUUUAGUGGAGAGUCUAUGCCUUUGAUCAGAUCCCCAGAGGUGGUUGUCACUUGCCCCCCAUUGCCUGUACCAUGUUGCCUUCCUGGAGUUGGUGGCCUUUGAGCUGGGCCUGGAAGAUUGGGUAGGACUUUAUGAAGUGGGGAUGGAGAGACAAGCUGUGGGAUGGGGAUGGAGAAGAUAACCCAGCAAAGGUAUGUGAAGGGGAAAGAAUUCAACACCUCCAGGCAAUGGUGAGGAUGUCCAUGAGUUCUCUUUCACUUAUCUGCAUGUCAGUCAUGAUCCCUGGAUGCCAGCUCCUGAUGGGUCAUCUGCCUGCCCUAGAACUUCCCAGCAUCUAGCAUCCCAGACCUUCCCAGGGUCUACAAGAAAAGAAACCUAGGCAUCAGGAUGUCAGUUCUGGUCUGAGUCCUGUCCUCUGCUGACUUUACACCAGCACAAUCUGGCAGGGAGAUUUAAUGUCUUCUCCUCCCAGCUUCCUGGUACAGGGUAAGAAAGUAAGCUCGCAGAUGCAAAUGCUUGUGGCUCUUCAUUGACCAGAGGCUAUAUUAGGGGAGAGGACUUCCCUGGGACCCCCACAGGGCCUGGAAAACCCCUCUAGCCCUGACUUGCUCUACCCCUUGGCUCUCAACCCAUUUUUCUCUUGGGUAACUCCUGAGUCUCCUCACCAUGGCCAGUUUGGAAGACUUUAGGCACAAGGACCUUGUCUUUUCCUUCAGAUCUUGGCUCAACCAAGAGGCGGACUCACUGAGAUGUGAACGCAGCUUAAGCAUCCAGGACUCUCCCCAGAUCCAGGGAGGGCCUCAGCGAUGUGUUCAUGUUGUCAUAUUUUUGUAAAAUUUGCAAAGGUAAGAUACUUUAACCACAAUCAAAAUUACUAUUUUCUUCCCACUCCAACUUCCCUUGUGUUUCAAUUUUCCUUUAUAUGGGAUAAUUGGAGUGGCCAUGGGCACUUCUGGGAUCUGACCAAGGGGAAGCUGAGUGGGGGACUGAUUUGAGUUGGGUUCAUUGGGAUAUGUUUAUGUGGUUUUCUGAAACAGAGGAUAUAUUAAUAUUUAUGUGGUUCUCUGUGUAUAGAUAAAUCAUUGCUAGUAAUCUCUGUGUAGAGAAUAGCUUCUAGGAAUUCUACCCACUGCCCAGCUCACUUGGCAUGGUGAUAUUAAGUUGCCAUAUGCAGAGGUCAUAUCGUGAUAUGAAUGCGUGUCAUGGCACCCAGCCCAGGAAGUAUAUGGGCAGUAGAGAAGAAACAGGAGAAACCAGGUUUGAAAUGUACAGAGCCAGAAGCUAGUCUGUGGAAAAUUCUUCUAAUCAUCAGGGGGAGAAAAUGUGUCUUAGAGGUUAGGCAGGGCAGUUAAUAAAAGUAUUAUGCAUUUUU